GACGAACGCUGGCGGCGUGCUUAACACAUGCAAGUCGAACGGUGAAGCGCCUUCCUUUUUGGUGGGUGUGGAUGAGUGGCGAACGGGUGAGUAACACGUGAGUAACCUGCCCCCUUCUUCUGGAUAACCGCAUGAAGGUGUGGCUAAUACGGGAUAUUCUGGGUCUGUCGCAUGAUGGGUCUGGGAAAGAUAUUGUUUCGGUGGGGGAUGGGCUCGCGGCCUAUCAGCUUGUUGGUGGGGUGAUGGCCUACCAAGGCGGUGACGGGUAGCCGGCCUGAGAGGGUGGACGGUUACACUGGGACUGAGACACGGCCCAGACUCCUACGGGAGGCAGCAGUGGGGAAUAUUGAACAAUGGGCGAAAGCCUGAUGCAGCGACGCCGCGGGAGGGAUGGAGGCCUUCGGGUUGUGAACCUCUUUCGCCAGUGAAGCAGGCCUGCCUCGUUUGUGGGUGGGUUGACGGUAGCUGGAUAAGAAGCGCCGGCUAACUACGUG
rnacentral:rRNA from 1 species